UUGAGGAGGUUUAGGCUGCCGGAGAAUGCCAAGAUGGAUCAGGUUAAGGCUUCCAUGGAGAAUGGGGUUCUCACUGUGACUGUCCCUAAGGAGGAGGUGAAGAAACCUGAUGUCAAGGCCAUUGAAAUCUCUGGUUGAUUGUUUUCUUUCUUAUAAAUGGAAUGGGUGUAACUACUCGUAGUUGGAUUUCAUGAACAGUGGGUGAUACAACGUAUGAUUGUCUAAUGAUCUAAUGAAACUACUCUCUAUAUUUUCAUAUUUGUUAAUAAUAUUUUUCCGCAGUAUCUUUAACUACAAAAAAAAACAAUCAACCAGAGAUUUCAAUGGCC
rnacentral:misc_RNA from 1 species